rnacentral:rRNA from 1 species
UACGGAGGGGGCUAGCGUUGUUCGGAAUUACUGGGCGUAAAGCGCACGUAGGCGGCUUGGCAAGUUGAAUGUGAAAGCCCACGGCUCAACCGUGGAAGCACAUCCAAAACUGCUUCGCUCGAGUCUCGGAGAGGAAGGUGGAAUGCUUGGUGUAGAGGUGAAAUUCGUAGAUAUCAAGCAGAACACCUGCGGCGAAGGCGGCCUUCUGGACGAUGACUGACGCUGAGACGCGAAAGCGUGGGGAGCAAACAGG